rnacentral:rRNA from 1 species
UACGAAGGGGGCUAGCGUUGCUCGGAAUUACUGGGCGUAAAGGGCGCGUAGGCGGCACUGUUAGUCAGGCGUGAAAGUCCUGGGCUCAACCUGGGAACUGCGCUUGAUACGGCAGAGCUAGAGGAUGGAAGAGGGUCGCGGAAUUCCCAGUGUAGAGGUGAAAUUCGUAGAUAUUGGGAAGAACACCGGUGGCGAAGGUGGCGACCUGGUCCAUUACUGACGCUGAGGCGCGACAGCGGUGGGGAGCAAACAGG